UACGAAGGGGGCUAGCGUUGCUCGGAAUCACUGGGCGUAAAGCGCACGUAGGCGGACUCUUAAGUCAGGGGUGAAAUCCUGGAGCUCAACUCCAGAACUGCCUUUGAUACUGGGAGUCUUGAGUUCGGGAGAGGUGAGUGGAACUGCGAGUGUAGAGGUGAAAUUCGUAGAUAUUCGCGAGAACACCAGUGGCGAAGGCGGCUCACUGGCCCGAUACUGACGCUGAGGUGCGAAAGCGUGGGGAGCAAACAGG
rnacentral:rRNA from 1 species